rnacentral:rRNA from 1 species
GGGUUGUGAGGUUAAGCGACUAAGCGUACACGGUGGAUGCCCUGGCAGUCAGAGGCGAUGAAGGACGUGCUAAUCUGCGAAAAGCGUCGGUAAGGUGAUAUGAACCGUUAUAACCGGCGAUGUCCGAAUGGGGAAACCCAGUGUGUUCCGACACACUAUCAUUAACUGAAUCCAUAGGUUAAUGAGGCGAACCGGGGGAACUGAAACAUCUAAGUACCCCGAGGAAAAGAAAUCAACCGAGAUUCCCCCAGUAGCGGCGAGCGAACGGGGAGGAGCCCAGAGCCUGAAUCAGUGUGUGUGUUAGUGGAAGCGUCUGGAAAGGCGUGCGAUACAGGGUGACAGCCCCGUACACAAAAAUGCACAUGCUGUGAGCUCGAAGAGUAGGGCGGGACACGUGGUAUCCUGUCUGAAUAUGGGGGGACCAUCCUCCAAGGCUAAAUACUCCUGACUGACCGAUAGUGAACCAGUACCGUGAGGGAAAGGCGAAAAGAACCCCGGCGAGGGGAGUGAAAAAGAACCUGAAACCGUGUACGUACAAGCAGUGGGAGCCCUGAUUUAUCAGGGUGACUGCGUACCUUUUGUAUAAUGGGUCAGCGACUUAUAUUCUGUAGCAAGGUUAACCGAAUAGGGGAGCCGGAGGGAAACCGAGUCUUAACUGGGCGUUAAGUUGCAGGGUAUAGACCCGAAACCCGGUGAUCUAGCCAUGGGCAGGUUGAAGGUUGGGUAACACUAACUGGAGGACCGAACCGACUAAUGUUGAAAAAUUAGCGGAUGACUUGUGGCUGGGGGUGAAAGGCCAAUCAAACCGGGAGAUAGCUGGUUCUCCCCGAAAGCUAUUUAGGUAGCGCCUCGUGAAUUCAUCUCCGGGGGUAGAGCACUGUUUCGGCAAGGGGGUCAUCCCGACUUACCAACCCGAUGCAAACUGCGAAUACCGGAGAAUGUUAUCACGGGAGACACACGGCGGGUGCUAACGUCCGUCGUGAAGAGGGAAACAACCCAGACCGCCAGCUAAGGUCCCAAAGUCAUGGUUAAGUGGGAAACGAUGUGGGAAGGCCCAGACAGCCAGGAUGUUGGCUUAGAAGCAGCCAUCAUUUAAAGAAAGCGUAAUAGCUCACUGGUCGAGUCGGCCUGCGCGGAAGAUGUAACGGGGCUAAACCAUGCACCGAAGCUGCGGCAGCGACACUGUGUGUUGUUGGGUAGGGGAGCGUUCUGUAAGCCUGUGAAGGUGUGCUGUGAGGCAUGCUGGAGGUAUCAGAAGUGCGAAUGCUGACAUAAGUAACGAUAAAGCGGGUGAAAAACCCGCUCGCCGGAAGACCAAGGGUUCCUGUCCAACGUUAAUCGGGGCAGGGUGAGUCGACCCCUAAGGCGAGGCCGAAAGGCGUAGUCGAUGGGAAACAGGUUAAUAUUCCUGUACUUGGUGUUACUGCGAAGGGGGGACGGAGAAGGCUAUGUUGGCCGGGCGACGGUUGUCCCGGUUUAAGCGUGUAGGCUGGUUUUCCAGGCAAAUCCGGAGAAUCAAGGCUGAGGCGUGAUGACGAGGCACUACGGUGCUGAAGCAACAAAUGCCCUGCUUCCAGGAAAAGCCUCUAAGCAUCAGGUAACAUCAAAUCGUACCCCAAACCGACACAGGUGGUCAGGUAGAGAAUACCAAGGCGCUUGAGAGAACUCGGGUGAAGGAACUAGGCAAAAUGGUGCCGUAACUUCGGGAGAAGGCACGCUGAUAUGUAGGUGAAGCGACUUGCUCGUGGAGCUGAAAUCAGUCGAAGAUACCAGCUGGCUGCAACUGUUUAUUAAAAACACAGCACUGUGCAAACACGAAAGUGGACGUAUACGGUGUGACGCCUGCCCGGUGCCGGAAGGUUAAUUGAUGGGGUCAGCGCAAGCGAAGCUCUUGAUCGAAGCCCCGGUAAACGGCGGCCGUAACUAUAACGGUCCUAAGGUAGCGAAAUUCCUUGUCGGGUAAGUUCCGACCUGCACGAAUGGCGUAAUGAUGGCCAGGCUGUCUCCACCCGAGACUCAGUGAAAUUGAACUCGCUGUGAAGAUGCAGUGUACCCGCGGCAAGACGGAAAGACCCCGUGAACCUUUACUAUAGCUUGACACUGAACACUGGUCCUUGAUGUGUAGGAUAGGUGGGAGGCUUUGAAGUGUGGACGCCAGUCUGCAUGGAGCCGUCCUUGAAAUACCACCCUUUAAUGGCUGGUGUUCUAACGUUGGCCCCUUAUCGGGGUUGCGGACAGUGUCUGGUGGGUAGUUUGACUGGGGCGGUCUCCUCCUAAAGAGUAACGGAGGAGCACGAAGGUUGGCUAAUCCUGGUCGGACAUCAGGAGGUUAGUGCAAUGGCAUAAGCCAGCUUGACUGCGAGCGUGACGGCGCGAGCAGGUGCGAAAGCAGGUCAUAGUGAUCCGGUGGUUCUGAAUGGAAGGGCCAUCGCUCAACGGAUAAAAGGUACUCCGGGGAUAACAGGCUGAUACCGCCCAAGAGUUCAUAUCGACGGCGGUGUUUGGCACCUCGAUGUCGGCUCAUCACAUCCUGGGGCUGAAGUAGGUCCCAAGGGUAUGGCUGUUCGCCAUUUAAAGUGGUACGCGAGCUGGGUUUAGAACGUCGUGAGACAGUUCGGUCCCUAUCUGCCGUGGGCGCUGGAGAACUGAGGGGGGCUGCUCCUAGUACGAGAGGACCGGAGUGGACGCAUCACUGGUGUUCGGGUUGUCAUGCCAAUGGCACUGCCCGGUAGCUAAAUGCGGAAGAGAUAAGUGCUGAAAGCAUCUAAGCACGAAACUUGCCCCGAGAUGAGUUCUCCCUGAGACUUUAAGUCUCCUGAAGGAACGUUGAAGACGACGACGUUGAUAGGCCGGGUGUGUAAGCGCAGCGAUGCGUUGAGCUAACCGGUACUAAUGAACCGUGAGGCUUAACCUUACAACGCCGAAGGUGUUU